UAUUUUUAAAUUGUCUCCAUUUUUAUUUCUAAUAUCAACAGAUAUAACUCAUAUAAACAAAAACUCUUUUAUGGUCCUCAGAAAUUUUUUUAAGUGUAAAAGGAUCUUCAGACCAAAACCUUUGAGAAAUGCCAUACAAAAUCAUUAAAAUUCCACUGCUUCUGUUCAUGCUUCUAGUGGUACAGACAGUUCACAGAUAGGUCAUGCACUACCAUUCCAGAAUCUUCCUUAUAACUAGGAGUUUCUGUAGUGUCUUUCAACAUUGCUUCUCCUUUAGAGAAAUUGGUUGUUUGAGUUUUUAUUAGGUUUUCUCAGUCUUGAAAAAGUUUAAGCUCUCCUUACUUCAGCCCACUAUUCUUUAUCAUAAGGAAGAAUAUCAAGCAUGUUAUUGUUAAAAGAGAGAAAAGCAAAGCCAAAACAAUGGAACUUUUCAAUUUAAUUAUAAAAACAAGUAGUGGCCAGUAUUUAUGUGCACUUACUAUGUGUCAGACUCUGUGCUAAGUGCUUUAUAUUUAUCUUCUCAUUUAAUCCUCUCAACAGUGCCUAAAAAUAGGGUGACCAUAGUCCUCAGUUUGCCUGCGGUGUUCCUGGUUUAUGCCAUUUGUUCAAGUAUAAUUAUUAAUAAUAUCCCCCUGCCAGCACAUAAGUUUCCCAGUUUGGACAUAAAUUAUCUGAUCACCCUCCCUGUAAAAAUUACUAUCCACAGUUUACAAAUUAGGAAACUGAGGCACAGAGAGAUUGAGUGUCUUGCCCAAAGUACACUGCUAGUAAAUGUGGGUGUGGGAUCCUAACCCAGGUCUGUCUAGCUCUGUAGUUCAGGCUUUUAAAGAAUUACAAACUGUUUCACAGUGAUAUCAAUGCUCCUGAGAUUUAUGUUGACCCCAACUAUAGUAAUAUAUUCCAGAAUAAAAGAAAGUAGAACACAGAAAUUUAAGGUAAAAUUUUAAAUUCAGUUUCAGUUGUAAAACACUGAUGUGAUAGAUGUGCUGUUCCGACACUCAUCUUUUACACAGUUCAGAGGCGCACACUUGCUAUCAACAGUUUGCAGAAAACCAAUGCUGCUUCUGUGUUGGGGCUUGCGGGGGAGUGCAGUUCUUGCUGGUUCAGUAAAGCUGAAGGAUGCCUAUUUAUAAAACAGGAAAGGUGGACCAAACUGUUAGAGGCCUUCCUAAUAGGGAUUCUCCCUGAUUAUAAGUAACCAUGCAAGUUUCAUUGGGUGUAUAAAUGUGCCUAGCUUAAAACUACAUCUCCCAGCAGUCUCUGCAGAUGAAGGACCUGACCAUGCUAUGCAGUCCUGGCCAACGAAAUGUAAGUAGAAGUUGUUGGAUGAGGCUUCUGGGAAUGCUUUCUUAAAAUGGAAGGCCAAUUUAGCUGACCUUGCCUUUUACUUUUCUUUACAUCUGGAACUCAAAUGCAGUACUGGAGUUUGAGCAGCCAUCUUGUGACUACAAAGGAACAAGCACAUGUUAAGGAUGGCUAGGUGAAGGGAAGAGAGAAGGACCUGGCUCUCUGAGGACAUUGUGGAUCUACCAAAUCAACCCUGGACUGAAAAAGACAUGAAACUGGGUUUUGAAAUUCAGUCCUCAGAUGAAAUCUCAAGGGGACGUGUGACAGGGUGGAAAGAGUAAGAAGUUGAGUCAGAUGGACCCUGGCUAUAGCAUUUGUUCAGCCCAUGACAAACCAAGGAACUCAGAGAGAGGAAGAAGAGGGAGGUUAGGAUAUUUAUUCCUCCAGCCCCCUUCUAAGAACUCAGCUGCAUCCCUCAAUGGAAGGACUCAGCUCCUAAAAGGCCAUCAACUAUUAUGUACUGAAAAACAAAACAAAACUCCUGGAUAACUAGGCCCUGACAGACACCUGUGACCCAAACUGCCCAUAAUGAACUCAGUGCGUUGCCUGAGACGAGGGGAUGCAUUUUACGGCAGUAAGUUGAGCACUGCCCUCAGCACCUGUGGACUUCGCUGACCUUACCACGUGCUCCAUCACACAGGAGUAACUUGCUUGACAGAACAGUGGAGUGGCUUGCUGAUGGCUCAGUCCAGACACCAGCUGAGAGACACCACCCUGUGAGGUUGAGCUGCCGAUUUAUAAAUCGAGAGAUUCUAAUGCAGCAAGUCCGGGGCUGGACCCAAGGAGUCUGGAUGUAAGCAGCAUCCCAGGAGAUCCUGAUGCAGUUGGUCCCUGGAGAAAUACGGCCCUAAACAGGAUGCUCCGGAGGGCGUCGUGCUGGCCUCUGGCACACAGUGGCGGGUCCUGGAUUUCUGCAGCCAGAAAUCACCGGGGACUGUGAACCCACUUGCCUGCUGUGGACACCUCCUACAAACCUGAUUCGGAACUUGGAACCCUGGGCUGAUGACCGCGGAGGGCCCCUAUUCCACUGUCUUAGUUUACACCGGGGGAACUGAGGCUCAGAGUCGCACAGGGAGCUGUUCCGAAUUACAAAUCAGAAUGCCUGCCCUGGAGACUUCAGACCCCAGUACAUAGGCUGUUUAGCUCACAAAAUUAUUUAGUGCUUAUAAUGUUAUAUAUCACUCCUAGUGGUGGUGUUUUUUCCUCUAAUUGAACCCUGACUGCUCUACGGGAACGGCGAGGACAUCCCAUCUGAGCACAGACAUCCCAUCUGAGAACAGACAAUGGACAAGCCAAGAGGAAAAAAAAGAAAAAAGAUGCUGGAUACUGAAAGUGCCCUGGUUGAGUAAACCAGGGACUGUUAGGGUGACCCAAUUUUCAGGGGAAGAAAGAUCAACCAAGACGUGACAACCCUGACUUUUGUGUGCCCCUAACACAGGGGUGCACAAUCACAAUCAGUUUCAUGGUUUGGUGGAAGGACAUUAAAAUAAGCCUACCUGGUGUGACCCAGCCCCGCCACUUACCAGCUGGGGGACCUUAAGCAAGUUACUUAACUGCUCUUUGUCUCAGUUCACGCACAUGUAAAAUGGAGAUGAUAAUAGUACAUACCUCAAAUGUUGCUGAGAGGUCUGCGUGAAUUAACAUACCUAAAGCACCUUGAAUAAUCAUCGGCAUAUAAUAAGCACUAUCUAACUUUCUUCUCUGUUUAUAGGAGAUGUUCAUAUUCACAGGUAAUGCCAGUCCUCCGUGUGUUCCUUGGAGCAUACCCUCCUUUCCCUCACCAUUUGCUCCAGGAACUCCCCUUGCCUCUCUUGCAAGCAUUCUCCUUCUCAUCUCCCUCACCUAAAACCCCACCAUCAGCCCUUAUGGAGGGUGUCUUUUGAGCAGCCUACCAACCCUUCCCUGGGUCUUCUCUGCCCUGACCUCACCUUACAGAAACCAGUUAUCAGCAUCUAAAAUCCAAGGUGCAAAGAAUCCUGUGAGGUCUGAAUGGCCAUGGUGGGAGAGCAGCUAUGAGAGGCUCUUCCUGCUUAUAUCACUAACUUAAGGAGCAUCUGCUGUAUACCAUGCAGACCACCAGACCCAUUCCCUACAAUGCUUCAGUCUUCCCAACAGCACGUUGGGUAAUACCAUCUCUGUUUCACGGGAGAAGCAGUUGAUGUUAAGAGAGGUUAAGUCAUUGCCCUAAAUCACACAGCUUAAGGGUCAUGGGGUCAGGAUAGGAAAGCAGGUCCUUGUGGGCUGUGUCCAGAGGCGUGUACCCACAACCAUUGCUUCCAAUGCUUCCUCUUCCCUCAUCCCCUGUUUUGGCCUUGGGCAGAAGCCACCAUGUUCAGACAGUGCACAAUCAAUUGACCAGGACAACAAGAAGGGCAGGCAGGUCAUCUCAACCACUUAUAAGGUGGGUAUUAUUAUCCCCAUUUCACAUGUGCAUGAGCUGAGGCAAAGAAAGAUUAGGUAAACCCUGACUGUGCCUUCCUGUUUCCUAACGGGGCACUCCCUCUGGAUUACAGGUUUUACUUCUCUCUAAAAUGUUCUCAGUCGUUGAGGAGGAACCACAGGGACCACGCAGAAAUGCUUUGAUCUGGUUACGUAGGAGCAAAGUUAAUUCAUUACAUACGCAUGCCUUAGCACAAGAAGACCGGUUUCUCUCAGGAAAGAGGCUGUUUACCUUUUGUUACAUACAGGGACAUAGAAAGACUAGCACAAUGUGUGCUGUAACAAACCCCUGAAUACAAACCACUCAUCUUUAGCAAUUAGCAACGAUUUGUGAAUUUUGUUUCAUCUAUUGCUUGAGACAUCCUGAAAUUUCACUCAUAAAUUCUUCAGUAUACAUCUCUCACUGGAAAGGACCUUUUACAUCGCUAAUAAAUCACUGUGCCAUGAUUGCACCUAGCGAAAGUCAUAGUAAAUUAGUAGCAUCUAAAAAAAAACUAAUAUUAAUAAGAUUUUCAAUAAAUUAAUAACAUGCAAUACUCAAACCCUAUUCAAAUGUCCUUGAUUAUCUCAAAAAUGACUUUUUGUAGGUUUUUUUUAUAUGGCUUGCUAAGCCACAAAUACAGGCAAAUGAUCUGGUUAUGACAAACAUAAUCUCCCUCCCUCCCUCCCUCCCUCCCUCCCUUCCUUCCUUCCUUCCUAAGUAUCUGUUGACUGCCUAUUAUGCCAGAC